GAAGUCAGUACCAUCUCUUUCAUAAAUCUCAAUCUAUUUGAGGACAUCCUUCAACUUUAUCUUUAGAGAGAAUGGCCACAUUCUGCUGGCUGUGACCCAGUCUCUCCAGAGCCCAGCCGUGGACAUAAAAUUUGGAAAAGGGCCUGGCGAAUGCCACGUCUAGAGAAGGAUCAUUUCCUGGGGCUUUUGGGUUAUGUUCCUAUUAAUAUAAAUCAUCGUCUCCAUUUCAGAAGAAGAACCAAAACACAUCUGAUCUGCUCUUAAAGGAAACUCAAUUGUGACAAGCAGAGGAAACUAAAGAGCUAACAAGACAAUAACAAGGAAGCAAAUACGAUAAUUUCUGAAAGAGAUAAGUGUUCUGAAGAAAUGAAAUCAGGAGAAUGGAAUAGAGAUAUGAUGGAUAUUAGAGAAAUCCUUGCUAAGAAGACAUAAAUAAAGAAAACGUAACAACCUGGUGAAGAGAUUAUUUCAAGGCACUUUCACUCAUUCAUUCAUGCCCAUUCCAUUCCUACCUCAGGACCUUUAUACCUGCUGUCUCUUUUACCUGGAAGAAGCAAAUUAUGUAACCUUCUCGAAACUCAUUUUGCUUAAGAUUGCUCAUGUCUGUAAAGUGUCAGGGCUGGAACAAAAAUCAAAGCUCUAUGACACAAAGUUAGAUUUGUGGGGUCAUGAGGGAAACACCCACCUUAAGAGCAGGUUUGGAGGAUUAGAUAGAAGUUCUCUAUGAACUUGACCACAAUAGCUGAUAUCACAGCACAGUUUCUCCUCUCUCAGUAAUAAAGACUCAGAUCAAGGCAGCAUCUCUCUGAGCAAGGAAUGAGGAUCCUUCUAUAGAAAAGCUGGGACCUGGCUAGUGUGUCUACUGAACUGCUCUUUCAAAGUUCUGCACUCCCUCCACACGGGGCUUGAGUUUCCAUAGACAAAAAAACAUAACAUGGUCACCAAAGAGAACCUUCAGCAUUGUUUCUCCAGCAACUGAGACUCCAGUGAAAAGUACACCUUCCUGGGAACCAGCACCCAACCUAUCCUGGACCAGGUCUCCCAGCCAAUGGUGCUGCUCGCUGGCAUGCAGUGGCAUGAUCUCGGCUCACCGCAACCUCUGCCUCCCAGGUGCAACUGAUUAUCCUGCCUCAGCCUCCUGAGUAGCUGGAUUACAGGGCCUGGCCCAUGGCAGGAGCUCAGGAAAUGUCAGAUAAAUGAUUGAAUUUACAAGAACAAGCCCAACAGUUAAGAAAACUUCAGCUCCUGCCUCCUGCCCAUGCAGCCCAGAAGGGCCAGUUUCAUGCCAUGUUUGAUUGCCGCUCCGGUCCCAGGAGGGAUGGAAUCUGCUGUCUCACCAAGACUUGGGCAUGAGGCUGGCCUUCUCCAGAAGCUCCAGGCCCAGAGAAACAAUACAUCUAACCAAAGUCCCCCAGGGAGUCUUGGCACACAGUUGGUGCUCAGUGGACAUUGGAAUGUUUCAACAGCCAUGUCUCCUUGUUGCUGAACUGAGCAACAUCCAUGGACAUCCAUGGGACAGAUGGUUCUCUCUCCAGCAUGGAAUCAGAAGGCCUGGUUUCAAGUUCCAGGACUGUGCCUCAUUCAUUGUGUGUUGCUGGCUGAGUCACUUAACCUGCCUGAGCAAAGAACAGAGAAGCAGUCAGAUUUGGAAUCCACUGGGGAGGCAGGGUUUGUAAAACUUGUUGAUUAAAUGAACAAGAGUAUGUGGGAAUGAGAAGAAUCAAAAUCUAAGCCAAGCAUCUGGCCUGAACAGCUGGGUGGUCAGUGAACCCAUUUCCUGGAAUGAAGAAGAUGGGAAUGCAGGGGUGUUUUUGGAGUGGAGUUUGGGUCAAGAGUUUGGAUUUCUAUGUAAUGGAAGUUGUGGGCAGCCAUUGGAAGGAUAUUGACUUUCCUUCCAAGGAGCUGGAGAGCUUCUUAGAGGCCUUUGUCACACCUACCUGGUUCUCCCAGCUCUCUCCAGCUAACAGCCCAAGUCCUUCUCUCCGGCUACAUGACCCUACACAGUAUGGUCCCCACUGCCUCUCUGCCCACUGCCCAUAGGACUCCUUCUUGCUCUCUGUUGGCCCCUGCUCUAGGAUGUGUCCCUUACUUUCUCAGCAGGACCUUCUCAUCUCCCAGAUACCCACCUGGCUCUCCCAUCACCUCCUUCAAUCUUUGUCUAAAUGUCACCUUCUCAAGAAAACCAAGCCUGGCCACUCCACUCUCUGCAAAAAUAGCAAAACUCUACCCUUCCUCUCUCUAGUAUCCCCUGUCCCUCUCACUGGGUUUAUUUUUCUUCAAAGUACUUACCACAUUCUAAUUCACUCACACCUAGAAUCUCUGCUUCCUCUCACUUGAAUAUAAACUUCAGGACGGCAGGGAUUUUUGUUUGCUUUGUUCACUGCUGUAUCCCCACAGCCGAGAAUGGUGCCCAGCAUGUAGUAGGGCAGGGAUUUUUGUUUGCUUUGUUCACUGCUAUAUUCCCACAGCCGAGAAUGGUGCCUAGCAUGUAGUAGGUGCUCAAUAAAUAUAUGUUAAAU
rnacentral:lncRNA from 10 species